rnacentral:rRNA from 1 species
UACGGAGGAUGCGAGCGUUAUCUGGAUUUAUUGGGUUUAAAGGGUGCGUAGGCGGGAUGCCAAGUCAGCGGUAAAAAUGCGGUGCUCAACGCCGUCGAGCCGUUGAAACUGGCGUUCUUGAGUGGGCGAGAAGUAUGCGGAAUGCGUGGUGUAGCGGUGAAAUGCAUAGAUAUCACGCAGAACUCCGAUUGCGAAGGCAGCAUACCGGCGCCCUACUGACGCUGAGGCACGAAAGCGUGGGUAUCGAACAGG